rnacentral:snoRNA from 17 species
GUACAUGUGAUGAAGCAAAUCAGUAUGAAUAAAAUGAUACUGUAAACGCUUUCUGAUGUA